CUUUUAUGAUUUCGACUUUCAAAUGCGUAGUGUAGACGGUGAUUCUUGCUUAUGGUUCAUCUUCGUUCACGAUCUGCGAAAGAGAGGGAUGCUUCGAGCUUAUUCCCUUAUCAUUAAGAUGGAGUUAUUACAGAAAAUUAGGAUCGAUUAGGAUUAGACCGAGACUCCCGUAUGUUAUAUAUAUUUAUAUAAAACCUAAUUUAAUAAUGUUAAAUUACGUUCGUCCAUCAAGAACGAAUCCAGAUGCAUUUUAACCGUUGGAUCGACUGUAUCUUUAUAAAUCGCCUUGAAUAAAUCAUGUGGGCCACAUCUAACAUUCUUCCACUUGGCUUAAUAAUAUAUUUAUUACCGAUAGGCGAUAUAAAACUUUAUUAGGUACCUACUAAAUUAUACUAUCAAAAUCUUCCACUCGACAAAAAAAUUAUAAUACUUUAAUCAUAGCGGUUAUAUCCCAACAGAUGGACACUCCCUUCCAUAUAUUAAAAC
rnacentral:lncRNA from 1 species